ACAAUUUUCCCAUUUUUGGUUUGUGUUAUCCACCAACAUUAAUUUAUUUUCUUUUUUUUUAUCACCUUGGAUUUUUGCAAAUUAAACAAAUAAGCUUGCUUGACAAUAAAACUAUUUAUAUAAAAAGUGAAGACGAAAUGUAUUAAUACGUCACUUUGUGUACUUUCAUCAUUUUUGUCAUACACAUUUUUACUAUUGAUAUUAUGGCUUCCUUUUUGGAAUCCUUCUCAGAACCUUUUUGGAACCCACACAGACAAGAAGUACAAAGAACAAACCCCCGACAAAUAUUCCUAAACGUUUUAGCAAUUAUUUUGACAAUAAUCAUAUCAUUUCUGGUAACCGAAUUGGGACCAAGUGUUGGUUUCCUUUUGACACAACCCGAACCUACGAUGCUAGAAAAGUUGAUGGGAUAUGUACCAUUUCAAUUUAUUUUUGCCCAGCCUAAACUUACCUUAGGGCAACGAUUUUACGAAAUGCUUCGUCAUUCUAGAUGCGGUUUCGUUCAGUUGAUGCUCCUAAUGUUUGAAAAGCCUGAGCCCACUUUUAUACAAAGGAUUUCGUGGGGAUGGUUUUAAUGCUAGAUCCCAAAUGUUUAGGUAUUAUAUAUAAAUUCUACAAUUUAAAGAAAAUUAUCGUGAUGGAGUAAACUGAAUUUGUUUUUUAUCAUUGGUUGAACUUUUCCUCAAUAAAUUCAUAGUAUAAUA